GGCACUCGGCAGCAAUAGCGUGGUCGUUGUUCGUGGUCGAGUCAACGACGGAGUUUAGCAACCCAUACGGUUAAAUCCCCCGAGAAAUCGUUCCAGUA